AUGAAAAAGAAGAAAAGAACAAGUAACUGAAGGAUCCUCUGAUGGCCUCAAGGCAGUGGAUUGAGAAUAUCUCUUAAGUACAAGGAGGUAUUCUAGAUAUAGCAAGACCUAGCUGAUUUUUUUAACAGUAUGGUGUGGAAGAUCCAGUUCACCCCGAGUAAGAAAGCAUCAUUUCUUCUCUUUGAGAAAACUGGGCCAAAUGGAGGAUGCUGGUCACAUGAUCUACUGAUGCCUGCUAAGCAACAGCAUGGCUGAUUGGACAGAUGUGUUAAUAUAGAUUCUGGUGGAAGCAUAGCUCCUUCCCUUUUUUUGUAUUUUGUUGUUUUUAUCAGUAACUGUAUUUUUACUGAAGUAGAAGUUCAUAAGGAAAAAAAUGAAAAAUAUCACUGUAAGCUAAUUGGCUUUGAAGCUUUGGGGGAUUCAUUUUAUUAUGGAAGAUCAACUGGAAGAUAAAUGCACAUACACAGCAUGAAAAAUAUCGACCCCACAGAAACCACAGGAGAAAGCUCAAUUGGCUGGCAAUGCUAUCUGAUUCAAAGUCCAUUUGUGCUGCUAUAACAAAAUACCUGAGAUUGGGUAAUUUGGCUCAUGAUUCUGGAGACUGGAAGUCCAAGACUGAGGGACUGGCUUCUGGCAAGGACCUUCUUGCUGUGUCAUGUCAUGGCAGAUGGCAGAAAGGUACAAGUGGCUCACGCCUGUAAUCCCAGCACUUUGGGUGAAUCACCUGAGGUCAGGAGUUCGAGACCAGGCUGACCAACGUGGUGAAACCCCAUCUCUACUAAAAGUACAAAAUUUAGCUGGGCAUGGUGGUGGGCGCCUGUAGACCCAGCUACUCAGGAGGCUGAGGUGGGAGAAUCGCUUGAACCAGGAGGCAGAGUUUGCAGUGAGCCGGGAUCGCACCACCACUCUCCAGCCUGAGAGACAGAGCGAGACUCCAUCUCAAAAAAAAAAAAAAAAAAAAACUUAGCAGGAAGCAAAUGAAAGGUCAAAGCAGGCUUGCAGUCAGUGGGCACUCAACUAAGGGAAGCUUAUAAAAUGAAAACACACAAAAAAAUCCAAAAAGGCUUUGCCUCCUUCCUUUCAUAAUAAAAUGCUGACACACCUUAAUUAUAGUGUUGUAAACAGUGCUGUUGGACCACCGCUUCACCAUAUGGGACUGAAAACUGUAAAUAUGUUAGAUAUUGGUUCUUAGGAAAGGAAAAUAUAGAAUAUAUCCUUUGUACGAGUCAUAUUUUUAUGAGGCUGCUGAAGAGUAGCUGAGUGUUGAAUCAAAUCACGAAUUCUCAAGGCCACCAUAAUCAGAGUAGGCAAAGUAUAUAUUUGCUCAGGGAAACAUCUGUUAAGAAAUUUCUCCUGAGUCUCAUCAGUAGUUGGCAAGCUUUACUGCUUUAGCUAUAUUUUCAUUAUUGGCCUGUCUGCAGAAUAGUUUCCACUGGUUGUCCUUCAAUCAUUAAUUCACCAGUAAAGAAAUAAUCUUUUUAAUGGCCCGCCUUUGUUGAUAAUGCUCACAACAAAAUUUAAAUUUUAAAUAGUCACUCAGUGAUUUGUAUUUUAUUCCAUUGUGCUCUUAAAUUUUAUGUACAUGCACAGAGCUCUGAAAAAGGAUAAAAACAAUAAGUUAUGAACUGAGUGUGAAUCAACCAUGGUGGUUACAGUUCAGUUGCUUUUGGAGUAUUGCAGAAGUUGUGUCUUUAGCUAAUAAUGCUUGGUUCAUAGGAGUCACACCGUUACUUCUAAUACUUCUCAGUGACAUUAUUGAAAUCAGCUACAUAAAAUAUACAUGGACUUUUUUUUAGUUCAAGUAGAAGUACCUUCCAACAAAAUAUGCUUUCAUCAAACUAUCAAAUUCAUAAUAGGAAACAAAGCAUUUUCUGGAAAAAGAAAAAGAAAAGACAACCAGAAAAUCAUCUUUUUUGAUACAGUUAUCUCAUAGGCAUAUGUUACCAGUGGCAUGAAUAAAAUACUACAUAAACUUUUUGGACAUAAUUAACAUUAAAACAUACUGGCCAGCAUCAUAUUAUUUUCUCUCUAGAUUUCCAUUUAGUGCUUUCCAUGUGUCAGAGAGUCAAUGUAAAGCUAUCUUGAUAAACCCAUUAACGAAUUGUUGCAUAAUGUUUUAUAGUUGCUUUGCAAGUGAAUUAUUUUUGCUGUGGUACUGCUAAUACAGCAAUCUCUAUGCCCUCUAUGAUUAUUAAUAUGGAAUAAUAAAAAACUGUAACUUUGUCCAACAUUUUCUCUGGUCAAAAUAUUAAUAUAACUUGGCUAAAAAGAAGCAUGGAGAAAAACACAAGCACUAUUUUGUGGUGUGUGAGAUCGACCUGCAGUUGUUAACGCUGUUAUUAAGUUUCAGUAAUUGUUUAGGUCAUCAAUCUCUGACAAGAACCUUUCAGAGUGCUUGAUGAUAUCGCAAGUAUCAAGCUGUGCUGCAUUAAAAAAUGAUGAAUCUCUGUUCAGGUAAAGCUUUGCCCUUUGGCUAUCAUAAUGUAUCACCACUUUGUUUACAAAUGGGUAUUCACUACGCUAAAUGGCAACAGGGUGCAUGCGAUUUUAUAAAUAUGAAAUGUUGGCACUAGCUAAUAUCUGAACUCGUAGUUGAAAGUGCAGCUGGAAGUCUAGGGAAAAUAAUCAUAGUUACUUACAAGAUAAAUAAUUUUGUAAAUUAAAAUCAUUGUGUUUCAACUAUUUAAAUGAUUACAAGUUAUUUUUUUAAAUAACAUGUUUUAAUAGAAUAACUCAAUUUUAACCCUUGGUUUUCUCUAAAACAAGUCUUAUAAUUUUUACCUAAACAUAAAUUUAGAAGCAUUAUACAUAAAUUUGAUAAUUUAUCAAUUUCAAAGGAAUCUCUAAUCGUUGCUAUUAGAUUCAUUAAGCCAUCAGCCACAUUUUGUCCAGGUUAUUAUUGUUUUAGACAAGUCUUAUUUUUGGUAGGAAAAUUAUUUUCUGAACGCAACAAAAUAGAAAUGACUUCAUCUCUUAGUUUACUGAUUGGUUUAAAUGAGCUAAGUGUUACUCCUAUGUAUCCUUGCUUAUUAAUCAAAGGCGGCGUUUUACAGACAUGUAGGAGGGAAACCAUGUAGUGUUUACUGUAACAACUCCUUUUUUUUUUUUUUUUUUGAGACAGUGUUCACUCUGUCACCCUGCUGGAAUGCAGUGCUGUGACCACUGCUCACUACAGCUUUGAUGUCCCAGGCUCAAGUGAUCCUUCCACUUCAGCCUCCCAACUAGCUGGGACUACAGGUGCACACCACCAUGCCAGGCUAAUGUUUCGUAUUUUUUAUAAAGACGGGGUUUCACUCUGUUUCCCGGGCUGGUCUCAAAUUCCUGGGCUCAAAGUGAGCCACCUGCCUCAGCCUCCCAAAGUGCUGGUAUUACAGGUAUGAGCCACUGUGCCUAGCCUAAAGCUAUAAAAUAUUACAGAAAGAAUUGUAGUACCUUGGCUACUCUUCCCUGGUUACCUCCCUUCCCUCCAUUCAUAUCCUGAUAUAUUUAUAUCAUUAGAGUGUUUAUUAAUUUCACAUAUGCAUUUAUACUGUUACUCUAUAAUUGAUCCAAAAAUAUAAUGUAACAUUUUUGUCUAUUUUCAGUGUUUAUAAAAAUAAAAUGAGAGUAUGCAUAUUAUUUAAUUUAUGUUUAUUUGUUCAGUAUUCUAUGUUUGAGUUUUCACCAUGUUAAUGCGUAGAUCUCUGAUUCAUUCCUUUUAAGUGCUGUAUACUAUGCUAUUGAUGGAAUAUACCACAGUUCAUUUUCCAUUCUUUUUUAUUUUUGAUGAGCUGUUAGGCCUGUGUCCAAUGUUUCACUAUUAUAAACAUGAUAUGUUAAUAUCCCUCCAUCUGUCUGCUUAUGCAUGUGUGCUCCGUUUCUCUAGAAGAGUAUGCACCUGGAAAUUUAAAUGUUGUGCGUAUCUACAGUUUCACUGGGACAUUGCCCUAUUGCCCUCCAGGGUAUUUUAAAUAAAUUUAUCUUUUCA
ensembl:lncRNA